rnacentral:rRNA from 1 species
CACGUAGGGUGCGAGCGUUGUCCGGAAUUAUUGGGCGUAAAGGGCUCGUAGGCGGUCUGUCACGUCGGGAGUGAAAGCUCAGGGCUUAACCCUGAGCCUGCUUCCGAUACGGGCAGACUAGAGGUAUGCAGGGGAGAACGGAAUUCCUGGUGUAGCGGUGAAAUGCGCAGAUAUCAGGAGGAACACCGGUGGCGAAGGCGGAUCUCUGGGCCUUACCUGACGCUCAGGCGCGAAAGCUAGGGGAGCGAACAGG